rnacentral:lncRNA from 1 species
GUGUGAGACGCUUCUUACGCGUCUCAACUUUUAUACCCGGUACUCAGUACUACAUACACCUGUACCUUAGCGUUUUUUGUCAAAUUUAUGAUGAUUUUAUUGUCUAUUUUUUUACUUUCAGCUAAAAUAUGCUUCUCGUACAUGCAUAAAUAAUGAACAACUCGAUAAAUAAUGUGUGUGAGAUAUAAUGUGUAUCUCUUGGCGAUUUUCGGGUACUGUAAUAUAGUUUUAGGCUUGGUAAUAACCUAUUUUCAAGCGAUCGAGCUAGAUUCCUUUUGUAAGUAUUGUAUUAAUACAUUAACCUACUCAAUAUACAUGUACAUAUGCAUAUACAUACAUACAUAUACAUAUAUGUAAACUCAAUGUCAUUCUACAUAUUAAUUCUCUAAAAUUAUUUACAUAAAUUUCUUUUCGACUUAGACUAUUACUACGAAGUUAAAGGAAUAAUUGGAUUUUUCAACUCUGCAGCAGAUUUACCUGACCCACUUUUAUACGAACAAAAAUUUAAAAUAAACGGUCGUUUCUUCGAGAUACUUCCACUUGACGUCUACAAGGGACUUUUUCCCAUUGGCAUUUUGCUGGGAGUUCUGCACUCCGGAUCAGGGAUAUUAACAUUGCUUGGUAUAAGAAAUGUGAGUUUUCAUUUGUGUAGCGAUCGUCCUGCCAGACUGAUUUUCUCCCAUAUGUAUCCAGAAAUGUAAGAUCUACUUCUCGACUGGGUUAUUUCUAAGCAGCUUCCUUCCAUACUUCAUGAUUUUCUUGUACUUGUGGAGUAAGUGCGACGAUUUUUGUUACUUAAAUAGACGAAAAGUACUUACUUGCACUUGGUUAAAGCUUUUCAGAUUUGUUUUACCAUCCUAGCCAUUCGACACUUGUUCAAAGACUUAAAUUGGAUGGAUUAAACUUGUCAAAUCAGGGAUGGAAGCUGCUUCAAGCCCUUUGCAGUACCUUCACUAAAGCAAAAUCCAACAGGAAGAGAAAUCAAUAAGUUAAUUUAAUUUAAAAAACAAAAUUAUUACAAUGUUUUUGAUAUACAUAUGAACAACCUCCAAACACUCUUUUUUACAUGAGCCCAUGAGUCGAAACUAGCUAGAUCGAAUAACUGUAUCACGUAUGUACUGAUAUACCUACCUACUUACAUACAUAUAUGGAGUGAGAUUUAUAAAUAUUUACAAAUCACAUACGAGUAUCACUUUGGAAUUGGGAAU